AGUGGCGUACGGGUGCGUAACACGUAAGUAAUCUACCCCAAGCUCUGGGAUAACUCUCCGAAAGGAGGGCUAAUACUGGAUAGGGUCCCCGAGGUGUUAGGCUGCGGGGGGAAAGCAGGCCUCUAUAUUAUGCUUGCGGCUUAGGAUGAGCUUGCGGCCCAUUAGCUAGUUGGUAAGGUAAAAGCUUACCAAGGCAACGAUGGGUAGCUGGUCUGAGAGGAUGAUCAGCCACACUGGCACUGAGACACGGGCCAGACUCCUACGGGAGGCAGCAGUGGGGAAUUUUGCGCAAUGGGCGAAAGCCUGACGCAGUAACGCCGCGUGGAGGAUGAAGGCCUUCGGGUUGUAAACUCCUGUCAGGGGGAACGACGAAAAUGGGUUGAAUAAACCUAUUUUUCAGACGGUACCUCCAAAGGAAGCCCCGGCUAAUUCCGUGCCAGCAGCCGCGGUAAUACGGAAGGGGCAAGCGUUGUUCGGAAUCAUUGGGCGUAAAGGGCGCGUAGGUAGUCUUGUGUGUCCGCUGUGAAAUCGUGCAGCUUAACUGCAUCACGUCGGUGGAAACUGCAGGACUUGAGGCUGGGAGGGGCUGGUGGAAUUCCCUGUGUAGCGGUGAAAUGCGUAGAGAUGGGGGAGAACACUCGUGGCGAAGGCGGCCAGCUAGACCAGUUCUGACACUGAGGCGCGACAGCGUGGGGAGCAAACAGGAUUAGAUACCCUGGUAGUCCACGCUGUAAACGAUGGGCACUAGG
rnacentral:rRNA from 1 species